AGAUCGCUGCUGGGGAGCAUGGAUGGCAGGUCAGCAGCAGCAGCCAGGCCGGGAAGCCCCUUGUGUGGCGGGUGAGCAAGUGGCAGCAGCAGCAGAGCUGGGACUCCCAGGAGGCCCUUCACUUCAAGUGGCAGGCCAGCAAGCAACGGAGCAGCAGCAGGGCACCGAGCAUCCAUGGCAGCAGAUACUUUUUACUGUGCUAUAGAGUGGUGGCAUUCGUAUUAGUCACUGCACAAACAGAAAACCAGGAGAACGAUUAUUCCAGAAUAUGGCAGUGAUCUUGUGUUAGAUGAUAUUCUCCACUCCCACAGAGAUGUGAAAUGAGAUUUGUUGCAUGAAGUCAGCCACCAAAAGAACAUGAUGGACAGCAAUUUCCAUAUGUGUCCAUUAACUGAAGUUUGUGCAUUGGCAAUUGUUGGUUGGAAAAUUUAAUGUAGCAGAACAGUCAAAGAUCUGUGCAGAAGCCAUUUGCUGCACUGGAGUGGGGAAAAACUGUUUUAAUGAUUCAAAGUCCUUUCAGUUUCAGAAACAUAUGCAAGUACCUUGGGGUUGUCAAGUUCACAACUAUAUUAUAUGAUUACCUGGUAGACUUCCAAGGCGGGCAGACAUGCCGAGUCCGGAGUGGAGGACUGGUCUACCCACCAACCCCAAUUGGUAGAUCAGCUCUCCCUGGAAAAAUGAUGCCAUUUUGAGGCCCGUUUUCCCAGCACUCCCCAGAAAAAUGGGCCUCAAAAUGGUGGUCAAAUCACCCAAAUCGAUUCGAGUCAUUCAAGGGUGAUUCGGUGAGACAGCUGGCUAAGCUGGCCAUUUUCAACAAAUCAAUUCAAUGUUUCUGUGAUUCAGUUUGUGCACACCUUGAAACUGUACUCCCUCCCAACACUAUUUCCAGGGCUGCAACUGAGUAGUGUGUGAAUCCUGAAAAUGCAAGGAGGUGGCAACAGGUUGUGGAAGAGAACUCAAGCUAGGGUGAAUGCUUAUGAGGAAGCACAAGCUGGUGGCAAGGUAACAGGGGUCCUCACAAGCUAUAUGAGGCAGUGGGGGCAGGGUGGCAAAUGGACUUGUGAAGGCAUGUAUGGCAGCAAUAAGGUUGCAAUUGUACUUACCAGGGAAUGCAAGGUAGAAGUGAGAUUAUCAGGGCCUUGCAUAUAAGGUGGUGGCAGACUGCCUUUGAACACAGAGGUUUUGCAUCAGAAAUAUACUGUCUACAAAUGGGAAGACUCCACUUAACCAGCAUGGGUAAGCUCUUCCCCAUAGUGUCAUCAGAUUUUC